CACAACACACACACACGUGAGCCCUAGGCUGCCUUCCAGACGGUAGUUCCCUGGCCAUUCUCAAGGUUAUGAUAUAAGCCAGGACUCCAUAAUUCUAAGAAAAAAAAUUCUAAGGCCCACAAAUGGAGCUAUGUGCAGUCAGAGGGUACAACAUGUGCAACAUCACAAGGGAUUGUUGAGAGCCGCUUGUGGGUUGUGCAUUUGUCACACAUCUUGGGCUGGUUCUGUGCUAGGUACUGGAAUGAAUGUAGAAGAGGCACAGCCCCUGCCCAAAAGGCUUGCCAUCUACAGAAGAGGCCCGCUUGCUGGCUGAGUUGUCAUGGCAACAUGGAGACCCUGUGGUUGCAGCUUCUUUUGCCCUGCGACUUCCCCAGUCCUGGCACCUUCCUGCUUCUUCCUGUGGAGCAAAACGAGAGCCCUGCUUGCGCCAGGAGGUGAAUGGAAGAGUGAGCAAGUGGACCAGGGAUCAGGGCUGAUAUGAUUUAAAUCAAAUCAAAUUUAAUCACAAUUUAAAUAAUGAUUUAAAUCGCUUCACAGAAGGACUCUAUUUUAAGGAUUUAAAUCACUAGUCAGGAAGAUUUUAUUUAAUCAUCAUUUUCUAGCAAAAGUACAUUCUUCUUGUCUAAUAUAACCUUAAUGCAUAUUCAGAGAUAGAUGCAGGUUUCAUUUUUAGAAGGUAGGUACACACUUCUCGUAACGCUGUUCCAUUCAGGCAACCACCUUGCAUUUCUCAGUUGCACUGUUCGCAUUUUGCAUGCAUGCCCGGCUUACCCACAGAUACAGUAACUUCACUGAAAUAUUCCUAAAUGGGGUCUCUUUUACGGCCUGCUGCCAUGAUAGAGGUUUCCCUUUUACAAUGGAGGAUAUACUCAGAAAAGGUUUCCUCAGGACUGCAUGAAUAUGUUUUGUUCACAUUUAUUUCCCCUUUCUAUUCCCCUCCCCAAUCCCUUGCAUUUAUAUCCAGAUUCUUUCUUCUUGCUCAGAUCUACUCCAUCCCGCCAAAUCCUCUAUUCAUUUAUUAUUGACCUUUUUUGUCUUUGCGCUUUUAGUAAAAGAGAGGGGCAAGGGCUUGACUGUGUGCGUACAUUCUGUAUAUACACCACCUGCAGAAUAGGACUGACCAGGUCUGUUAUUUCUCAUCCCCAUAUACUGCAGCUUACAUGUUCAUAGAAUAUAAUCAGAAGUUAUGAUUGAUAUUCAUGAUAUAUCUAUACCUAGGGGUUUCUUUUUAAUUCCUGAAAAAAUAGAUUUAAAUUUUAAAAAUCCAGUUUUUAAACCAUUUUUUUGCAUUGAUUUUUAUCAACCCUCCUCCUUUGCAGUUGCUGAUGCAACCCUUGGAUUUCACACUGCUGGGGUGGCAAGGCACUAAAGGAAAUGUCUUCAAAAUUCAAAAUUGACUAGAAAGUGGCCUCCCAAAGAAGUAGAGUUUGCAAGCCCAGCCAAUGGUGCAGACCUUUCCACUUCCCCCAACAGCCAGUUUCUCCCCCCUGUCCUUCAAUCUGCAUUUCUCAGUUACUCCUGAAAUGGUACUGCAGCUUUUUUUAUUUCAGGAUCACAAUCCACCACGUAUUGCAAAACGUGAGUUGGGCCAGGACGUGGAGAGUCCUGAUCUUCAUCUAUACCAGGGGCUAUCCAUUUUUUGGUGGAAUGCUGAAGAGAAUAAAUCACAUGGAAAGGCUGCUUCUACAUGUUUGUUUUUCCCCUGAGGAAGAAUCUGAAAUGUGCUGGGAAUCUUCUUGGUAAUUAAAACACUUCCCAAACGUG